rnacentral:misc_RNA from 1 species
UCUCCGUUGGUGAACCAGCGGAGGGAUCAUUACAGAGUUGCAAAACUCCCAAACCAUUGUGAACGGUACCUAUCCCGUUGCUUCGGCGGGCGGCCCGGGCCCCGCGCCCGGCGCCCCCCGGCCCCCCGUGGGCGCCCGCCGGAGGUAAACCAAACCCUUGAAUUGCAUGGCCUCUCUGAGUCUUCUGUACUGAAUAAGUCAAAGCUUUCAACAACGGAUCUCUUGGUUCUG